UACGUAGGGUGCAAGCGUUAAUCGGAAUUACUGGGCGUAAAGCGUGCGCAGGCGGUUUUGUAAGUCUGUCGUGAAAUCCCCGGGCUCAACCUGGGAAUUGCGAUGGAGACUGCAAGGCUAGAAUCUGGCAGAGGGGGGUAGAAUUCCACGUGUAGCAGUGAAAUGCGUAGAGAUGUGGAGGAACACCGAUGGCGAAGGCAGCCCCCUGGGUCAAGAUUGACGCUCAUGCACCGAAAGGCGUGGGGAGCAAACGAGG
rnacentral:rRNA from 1 species